UACGUAGGGGGCGAGCGUUGCCCGAAUUUACUGGGCGUAAAGCGCACGUAGGCGGCUUCGUAAGUCUGGUGUGAAAUCUCACGGCUCAACCGGGAGGCUGCACCAGAUACUGCGAAGCUCGAGGACGGGAGAGGAGAUCGGAAUUCCCGGUGUAGCGGUGAAAUGCAUUGAUAUCGGGAGGAACACCAGUGGCGAAGGCGUAUCUCUGGCCCGUUGCUGACGCUGAGGUGCGAAAGCUGGGGAGCGAAAGGG
rnacentral:rRNA from 1 species